ACCCUCUCAGCAUCACAUCUGGAGAGUUUCCUAUACUCUACCAGUGUUGACUAUGGGAGGGAGAGUCAAGCAGAGGCCUAACCAUUCCUUUCCUAGCUUGGGCAGUGGCUAGCGAGUGGAAGGCAAUCUGCUGCAAGU
rnacentral:snoRNA from 1 species